CUGACUCAGCCUCCUGAGUGCUGGGAUGAUAGGCAUGAGCCACCACUCCUGAGUAUGAAGUUAAUUCUGGCUCACAGAUUUUAGAGGAUCCAGCGUGUAGUCAGCUGGCUUGAAGGUUUUCUAGAGUGUGUUUGCGGUACGUCACGUGUGCCUUCCUCGGGAUGAGCUGGUGCAUGGACAGGACACCGCGUUGCUGCUUGUGUCACUCCUCCCAGCCCUUGUUCCCUCUGGCUCUCGCUUCCUUUCCCACUGGCAGAAGAUCCAGGUCCCUGUUGCCUGUCAUCGCCCUUUUAGUUUGCUCUUGUCUCAUGUUUGCGUGUCUCACGUAAGAGGAACUGUGAUAGUUGA